rnacentral:rRNA from 1 species
AUUGAACGCUGGCGGCAUGCCUUACACAUGCAAGUCGAUCGGUAACAGGUCUUCGGAUGCUGACGAGUGGCGAACGGGUGAGUAAUACAUCGGAACGUGCCCGAGAGUGGGGGAUAACGAGGCGAAAGCUUUGCUAAUACCGCAUACGAUCUCAGGAUGAAAGCAGGGGACCGCAAGGCCUUGCGCUCACGGAGCGGCCGAUGGCGGAUUAGGUAGUUGGUGGGGUAAAAGCUUACCAAGCCGACGAUCUGUAGCUGGUCUGAGAGGACGACCAGCACGCCUGGGGAUGGGACACGGCCCAGACGCCUACGGGAGGCAGCAGUGGGGAAUUUUGGACAAUGGGCGCAAGCCUGAUCCAGCCAUGCCGCGUGCAGGAUGAAGGCCUUCGGGUUGUAAACUGCUUUUGUACGGAACGAAAAGACUCUGGUUAAUACCUGGGGUCCAUGACGGUACCGUAAGAAUAAGCACCGGCUAACUACGUGCCAGCAGCCGCUGUAAAAC